rnacentral:tRNA from 1 species
GCCGGAAUAGCUCAGUUGGUAGAGCAGGGGACUGAAAAUC